rnacentral:misc_RNA from 1 species
AUUGAGGUGAAGUUCAUGGGUGUUGAUACGAGCACAAUUAUGUUCACCCUGGAAAAAGGCGAAAACAUGGUUGAGCGUUAUCUGCAUCACUGCGGAACUCCCAUUUCCAUGAAGAUGCUGAAAUUAUACGCUUUCGGCCUAUAAUUUGCUGAAUCUUUUGUUUCUGAUCUCAUAUCCAAGCAGUGAAAUAUUCAUUACAUUCUUGUUCAGUCUUUUAAGUUUGGUAUGCAAU